UCACUUGAUCCCAGGAGGUGGAGGUUAUGGUGAGCCAAGAUCACGCUAUUGCACUCCACCCUGGGCAACAAGAGCGACAUUCCAUCUAAAAAAAAAAAAACAGCAAUUAGGAUCACAUUUAAAAUCUUAUUAUGUGGUGGUUUUCUCUCCUCUCCUCUCCUCCUUUCCCCUCCCCUCUCUUCUCUUCUAUUUUCCCUUUUUUUGAGACAUAGUCUUGCUCUGUCGCCCAGGCUGGAGUGCAGUGGUGUGAUCUUGGCUCACCGCAACCUCCGCCUCCCGGGUUCAGGUGAUUCUCCUGCCUCAGCUCCUGAGUAGCUGGAACUACAUGUGCGUGCUGCCACACCCGGCUAUUUUUUAUUUUUAUUUUUUUGUAUUUUUAGUAGGGAUGGGGUUUCACCAUGUUAGCCAGGAUGGUCUCGAUCUCCUGACUUCAUGACUCCCCUGCCUUGGCCUCCCAAAGUGUUAGGAUUACAGAUGUGAACCACCGGACCUGGCCUGGUUUUCUUUUACAUAAGCCUCUUCCUUUGUUGAAACCAUAAGAUCUUCCUCACAGUGGAGAAUCCUGAAAGCUCCCAGCAGCCAGCAAUGAAUGAAAGGUGGGGGCAGGGCUGCCAGCGGGGCGGGGCCUGGUGAGCCACGUGCCUAGGCUGUCACAUCACAAUGGGGGCGGGGGCGCGUGGAAGGGACUCUGGGCCUGAUUGGUUCCUGGGAACCAGGAGGGAGCUCUGGCGGUUGGCAGGGCAAACUCCUUCAGUUGGUGGGAAGCAGUGGAAGGAGGAGGAGCUCCGUCUGUGCUCUCUUCCCGGCAAUUACAGCUUGUUGCAUCUAGACCCAUUCUAAAUAAACCAAGCAGGUUCCCAGGGGACCCUUGCAGACAAGUCAGCUCAGGGGAGGUAUCUGAGGCGAGGUGCAGGCUGCUAGUGGGGUGCAGCCCCAUUGCCAGGGGCUGGCCCUGCCAGCGUAGCUUUGCUGGGAACAGGUGGAAGUGCUGAGCUCUGCAGACUUGGAAGCAAGGGAAGCCAAAGCUGCUGGAGAGGAGCCGAGCUACCCCAUGGGGAACACGCUGAGCUGUUGCUUGUGCACCACCGCCAGCCCCAAGCAGGGCCAGCACAGGAGGUCUGGGGAGCUGUCCUGCAGCGCUGACAUCUAUGAGGCAGCGUCAAGCAAAGGUGCAGGCCAAGGCAGAGAGGAGUGGAGCCGCCACAGAUGGAACAUGCUGCUCCCUAAUGCCAGCCCCAAGCAAAGACAGCACAGGGUGCGGUAGGCGGAACCACUCUGCAGCUAUAACAUCACAGAGGUGGAGGUGGCAGUAGCAUCACACCCCACUGCUGUGGAGCCUGCCCCGUCGGAUUUCGGAGCCCAAGAGGGCCAUGACCUGCAGCACAUCAGCGACCAGGAGACGCCCAAAUGUAAGGAGGCGGCUGAUACUGUUUGCCCUCCGGCGCGCCUCUGGCCACCACUGACCCAAGGUCCCCCCUAGAGGCAUCCACAGCCUUGGGUUCCUCCCUGCUGCCCCUAGCCAGCUUUCCUAGGCCCAGGGACCGGACCAGAUUUUGCUUCUGACCAUCCAAGGGAAAGCACACUCUUCCUGAGAAAAUAUCAAAUGAGUGUUUCUUCCAGAACCAUGGGCUUCUCACACAUAGAGUGCAUGGAAGUGGAAGAAAACCUACCCCAUGUCCUCGUCUCUUCAGCAGUGAGAAAUGUGUGUCAGUGAGACCAGUUCAACUUCAAAGGAGGAGGCAUUGUGGAGAACAAAGUGUGGCCCAAGUCCCCCUUGUAGCUUUUAUUCUUUGGACCUGUGUUAGAACAAAAUGAUUUUGUGUGCUGAGGAUACCAUGUUCAAUUUGGUUAGACACUCAUUUUAACAUUUGAGUUUAAGAGAGGCUACUUUUCAGUUGUGUAAAGACCCAUUUAUUUUUUCAGUAACAUAUUAGUA